AAGAAAAAAAAGAAAAAAGAAAAAACGCAAGCCCUUUGAAAACACCAGCCGCUUUUCCACAGAACAAAAGGAAAGAAAAAAAACAAAAACCCUAAAAUCCAAUUCUUAUUUCCUGAUCAAAAUUCAGACUCACUCAGACUAGCGAUACUUCGCUGCACCUUUAAACACACAAAUCGGGCUUGCAUGUUUCAACCUAUCAAACAGACGAAAAAUAAAACUUCUGCAACAGUGAAAACCUCUGCAACGGUGGAGAUCUCUGUUUGUUCUCUACAACAGACGAUUUAGAAGCUAACCCGUCUCUACUUCAACAACAAGCAAUUCAGAAAGUAGACAUUUUCCCCCUUUUUCGUUUUUUCUAUUCAGUUGCCGUUUCUAGGGUUUCCAGGAAAAUAAAAAGGGGUGUAGUCGAAGUAUAAAUAGAUGAAAAGUAAAACCUCUGCAACAGUGAAAACCUCUGCAAUGGUGGAAACCUCUGUUCGUUCUCUGCAACAGACAAUAUAGAAACUAUCCUGUCUCUGCUCUUCAACAACAAACAAUUCAGAAGGUUUAUCAUCUCUGUUUUGGAUUUUAAGACCUUUUUUUUACUAUUCAAGAAGAACUGCUGAAUUAAAUAAAGAGUAAAAGAGAAAAUGGAAAAUGCAAGUUUAGAAUGACAGAAAAGAUGGACGAUGAUGUUUGAAAAGCGAUCCAAAAGAAAACAGUAUGAAAUACAAAAUACUUUACAAAAUGAAGUUGUUGAAGCUAGAAAAUACAGGAAAAUAGUCAUUGCCGAAAAAAAAAAAAAAAAAGAGAAACAAAAUGGUAGUCAAUCAUGAAAAUUGUUCAUUACAUUCACCCGGUAAUGCUAUUGAACCUUGGAAUUUUGGCCCACCUUCUUAUGUAUGUAAGCAUUGUGGUGCUGUGUUAUGGUAUGAAGAAAGGAGUGUAAAAUCUAAAAGGCCUAGAAUUCCAAAGUUUUCUUUGUGCUGUAUGGAGUCAGAAGAGAAAAUAGCAACUACAAAAUUCUAUGUAGUUGCCGGUUCCUGUUUUACAUUCUACCUGAUCUGCUGUUUUUGAAGAGUGAUUGAAAUUGUAGAACUUUGAAAUCUGAAACUGUAAACUUUGAGUAUCUUAUAUUAGUAUCUAUUUAAUUGUUAGCCUCAAUCUUUCAUACUGUUGAAUACUUUGUUUUGUUGAAUUUGAGUGUCCAUGUGCUGAAUUAGCAGAUAAGGUCACAUUUGCUGGCUGUAUUAAUGGCGUGGAAGAUUUUUUAUAUUAUUUUUAAAAUGUAUUUGAACAAUCGUAAUUUGUACCAUCUGUUUAGUGUACAGUUUUAUAGCCUGAAUUUUUUCUUUCUUUCUUACAUGCUUGCUUUUUGUUUCUUUGGUUUGAUUCAAGUACUAAUUUUAAUAUUCCACUCUAUUUACAUAAUUAUCAGGGUCAGCUAAUUAUGGUUAAAGAACAUUUCAAAAGAUUAAAAUAAUAGUGUGUUGAAUGGAUGGUCCAAACUCCAUAUUGUGGGCAAAAAAUUAGCUACUAGAAUGAUGAUUACGUUUUGUAGAAUAAUCCUUUCAUGAACAUUACCACAUUCAUGCCCUUUUACAAAUAAUGAUACUAAAUAGAAUGGUUAAGAUUAUGUUCAAUUGGUGCUUCCCUUAUUGUUUUGACCUUCACUGCUACACGGCUUCAGUUUAAUGCUAGCCCUUAAAGAAAUAAACAGAAGGCCAGAAAAGUU